CGGGACGGGUGAGUAAUGUCUGGGAAACUGCCUGAUGGAGGGAGAUAACUACUGGAAACGGUAGCUAAUACCGCAUAACGUCGCAAGACCAAAGAGGGGGACCUUCGGGCCUCUUGCCAUCGGAUGUGCCCAGAUGGGAUUAGCUAGUAGGUGGGGUAAAGGCUCACCUAGGCGACGAUCCCUAGCUGGUCUGAGAGGAUGACCAGCCACACUGGAACUGAGACACGGUCCAG
rnacentral:rRNA from 1 species